AUUGAACGCUGGCGGCAGGCCUAACACAUGCAAGUCGAGCGAGCGGCGGACGGGUGAGUAAUGUAUGGGGACUGCCCGCUAGAGGGGGAUAACUACUGGAAACGGUAGCUAAUACCGCAUACUAUCGGAUAACCCAUAUGGGAUUAGCUAGGAGUGUAGGGAAUGGCUCACCUAGGCGACGAUCCCUAGCUGGUCUGAGAGGAUGAUCAGCCACACUGGGACUGAGACACGGCCCAGACUCCUACGGAGGCAGCAGUGGGGAAUAUUGCACAAUGGGCGCAAGCCUGAUGCAGCCAUGCCGCGGGUAUGAAGAAGGCCCUAGGGUUGUAAAGUACUUUCAGUCGGGAGGCGUUACCGACAGAAGAAGCACCGGCUAACUCCGUGCCAGUCGCCGCGGUAAUAC
rnacentral:rRNA from 1 species